CGGGGAGAGACGCAGUGAGAAGCAGGUAGAGAGUAGCGACGGGGAGAGACGCAGUGAGCAGCAGGUGGAGAGUAGCGACGGGAAGAGACGCAGUGAGAAGCAGGUAGAGAGUAGCGACGGGGAGAGACGCAGUGAGAAGCAGGUAGAGAGUAGCGACGGGGAGAGACGCAGUGAGAAGCAGGUAGAGAGUAGCGACGGGGAGAGACGCAGUGAGAAGCAGGUAGAGAG